rnacentral:rRNA from 1 species
UACGUAGGGUGCGAGCGUUGUCCGGAAUUACUGGGCGUAAAGAGCUCGUAGGUGGGUUGUCGCGUUGUUCGUGAAAUCUCACGGCUUAACUGUGAGCGUGCGGGCGAUACGGGCAGACUGGAGUACUGCAGGGGAGACUGGAAUUCCUGGUGUAGCGGUGGAAUGCGCAGAUAUCAGGAGGAACACCGGUGGCGAAGGCGGGUCUCUGGGCAGUAACUGACGCUGAGGAGCGAAAGCGUGGGGAGCGAACAGG